CCCAGACUCCUACGGGAGGCAGCAGUGGGGGAUAUUGCACAAUGGGGGGAACCCUGAUGCAGCGACGCCGCGUGGGUGAAGGAGCGUUUCGGCGCGUAAAGCCCUAUCGGCAGGGAAGAAGGAGGACGGUACCUGACUAAGAAGCCCCGGCUAACUACGCGCCAGCAGCCGCGGUAAUACGUAGGGGGCAAGCGUUAUCCGGAUUUACUGGGUGUAAAGGGGGCGCAGACGGCAGCGCAAGCCAGGAGUGAAAGCCCGGGGCCCAACCCCGGGACUGCUCUUGGAACUGCGCGGCUGGAGUGCAGGAGGGGCAGGCGGAAUUCCUGGUGUAGCGGUGAAAUGCGUAGAUAUCAGGAGGAACACCGGUGGCGAAGGCGGCCUGCUGGACUGCGACUGACGUUGAGGCCCGAAAGCGUGGGGAGCAAACAGGAUUAGAUACCCGCGUA
rnacentral:rRNA from 1 species